rnacentral:rRNA from 1 species
UACGAAGGGUGCAAGCGUUGUUCGGAAUUACUGGGCGUAAAGGGCUCGUAGGUGGCCAACUAAGUCAGACGUGAAAUCCCUCGGCUUAACCGGGGAACUGCGUCUGAUACUGGAUGGCUUGAGUUUGGGAGAGGGACGCGGAAUUCCAGGUGUAGCGGUGAAAUGCGUAGAUAUCAGGAGGAACACCAAUUGCGAAGGCAGCUCGCUGGGACGUUACUGACGCUGAGACGCGAAAGCGUGGGGAGCAAACAGG